UCGUCCUCCGGGAGUGGUGGGGACACUGUUGGGACCGCUCUGGCUAAGGAGGAGGAAGGGAAUGGGCAACGGUAGGUCAGCAUGCCCCGAAUUAUCUGGGCUACACGCGGGCUACAAUGGGUGGGACAAUGGGUAUCGACACCGAAAGGUGAAGGCAACUACUCCUAAACCCAUCCGUAGUUCGGAUUGUGGGCUGCAACUCGCCCACAUGAAGCUGGAAUCUGUAGUAAUCGUGUCUCAAAAUGGCACGGUGAAUAUGUCCCUGCUCCUU
rnacentral:rRNA from 1 species